ACACCAUCACCCAAUGAUCUUGAAGCUUCUUCAAACGACAUCGUUGUCCAUGGUAACGGGUCCAGUGUGCUCAGAUGCUAGCUCGACAACGUGAAUUUGCUACUGUGUCGAUAAACUAGCUAAUUUGAACAACGAUGUGUCCGCUAUAUGGAAUAUAUUAAUGAUACUGGUCCGUGUGUGUCACGUGGAUUUCGAGUAACGCAAACGAGCUAAUUUAGCCAACAGGGGUGUGUUCGUAAAUUUAGAGCGUUGUCAGAUUGUCCGUUCGUAAACUGGACGUUCCUGCUGAGAAGUAGGGUUGAUCCGAGCGUUCUGACUAUGGGGCAUACUGACCUCACAACGGCACCCAAGCUAACUGGCUAACGUUGGCUAGCUACUUCAUGUCACACAGAACACCUCACUAACUGUUGCUGGCAACAAUUUCAUAACGUUUUUUUGCCAACGUUUACUGACACUCAAAUGAGAGUGCUCUGAAAUCGGAGGUGAUAACCAGAGUGAAUUUAUGAACGCACCAUAGGCCAGCAAAUCCCUACUACAGAAUAAUCCCACAGAGCUGUACUGUUUUUGAUAAACCCAUUCUGACAAAAUAUUUUUUGCUAAUUUCGGAUGUUAGCUAGCCAGCUAACGUUGAUUUAGAUGCAUGUAACCCGGUUGGAAAUAGCUUCUUAACGUUUCUGGACAGAACCCCAGCUUCUUUGGAUAAUUGAACUAGCUACAGUAGCUAAUCAAUUAAAUUUCACACCAAGCCAAGAGAACAUCAUGGAGAUCAGCCUCAAUCGAGUUGAUUAUCUGCAAAGUCGCCUACAGUAUGUUUACGUUUUUCAUUUAACCAGCCUGUGUCCAAGACAUUGCCAGGGCAGAAGAUAACCACUUGAUGAGGCUCUUGAAACCCCGCAGAAGAUCUUUGUGUGUGCUGGCUCAGAAGAGAAGGGAUACACCAUUAAAGUCAAACAGUUCCUGUCCUUUGAGGCCAACCUUACAGAAAGCAUUAAUGCCAUGUCAUUUUUUAAAACUUUUCGAUUUGACAUAGGUUACCUUGCCUCGGUUCCAGGCCCUCUACACAUGUUCGUUAUCAGUGACGAACGGGACUUGGGAGUAUGGUACGUUUCAGACGCAGACCAUUUUGUAUGUGCGAGUUACAUCUACAACCACUACUGUGAAUGCAAGGACCAAGACUACUACCUGUCCGGAGACUAAAUCAAUGACAUUGUGUGUUUGUCUGCUGAGAACUUGGGCCGCAUUGUCCAUGUGUUGGCAUGUCAAGACAGUUCUCAGAGUGUUGCAGGGAUCUGAGCUAUUGUAUGAUAUUGAAGUCCCUGGUCCUCCCUCAGUUUUGGAGCUGUACAAUAGAGAUGGAGGCAAGUACAAAACUCUUAUACUGAACUCAAAUGUCAAUUUCACACAUCCCUGUACUUACAGUGCCUUCAGAAAGUAUUCAAACCCCUCUACUUUUUCCACAUUUUGUUGGUUACAGCCUGAAUUUAAAAUUCAUUACAUUUAGAUUUUUUUUUUGUCACUGGCUUACACACAAAACCCCAUAAUGUCAAAGGGGAAUUCUGUUUUUAGAAAUGACUACAAAUGAAAAGCUAAAAUGUCUGGAGUCAAUAAGUAUUCAACCCCUUUGUUAUGGCAAGCCUAAAUAAGUUCAUGAUUAAAAAUGUGCUUAACGAGUCACGUAAUAAGUUAAAUGGACACACGUUGUGUGCAAUAAUAGUGUUUAACAUGAUUUUUGAAUGACUACCUCAUCUCUGUACCCCACACAUACAAUUAUCUGUAAGGUCCCCCAGUUGAGUAAUGAAUUUCAAACACAGAUUCAACCACAAAGACCAGGGAGGUUUUCCAAUGCUUCGCAAAGUAGGUCACCUAUUGGUAGAUUGGUAAAACAUUUAAAAAGCAGACAUGGAGAAGUUAUUAAUUACACUUUGGAUGGAGUAUCAAUACACCCAGUCUCUAUAGAGAUACAGGCGUCCUUCCUAACUCAGAUGCCGGAGAGGAAGGAAACGGAUCAGGGAUUUCACCAUGAGGCCAAAAAGUGACUUUAAAACAGUUACAGAGUUUAAUGGCUGCGAUAACUGAAAACUGAGGAUACAUCAAUAGCAUUGUAGUUACUGCACAAUACUAACCUAAAUGACACAGUGAAAAUACGGAAGCCUGUACACAAUAAAAAUAUUCUAAAACAUGCAUCCUGUUUGCAAUAAGGCAAAUAAAAGUAAAACAGCAAAAAACGUGUCGAAGAAAUUCACUUGAUGUCUUAAAUAAAGUGUUAUGUUUGGGGCAAAUCCAACAUAACAUCACUGAUUACCACUCGUCAUGUUUUCAAGCAUGGUGGCGGUUUCAUGAUGUUAUGGGUAAGCUUGUCAUCGGCAAGGACCAGGGAGUUUUUUAGGAUAAAAUUAAACGGAAUAGUGCUAAGCACAGGAAAACUCCAAGAGGAAAAGCUAGUUUAGUCCUCUUUCCAACAGACACUGGGAGACAAAUUCACCUUUCAGCAGGACAAUAACCUAAAACACAAGGCCAAAUAUGCACUGGAGCUUCCCAAGACAAUACAGAAUGUUGCUGAGUGGCCGAGUUAUAGUUUUGGCUUAUCGGCUUGAGAAUGUAUGGUGUGAUGACCCUCCCAUUCUGUCUGCCGAAUCCUUUCUCUUGUUUUCCUUAAUAGGAUGUCGGUGGGCGGAGCUGGGAGGGUCGUCAGCGAAAUGGGACACCUGGGUUCGGGUGUGUCCCAGGAUAAAUGCACCUCUUCCCCAUUCAUAGGGGAGACUCUCUCCAUGCAGACACCUUUAUAGAUUUUUUUUUUGUGUGGCUUUUUUGGUUGUUUGCUUUGGCACCUUUCAACACCCCGCAUUAAUAAUUAUUACAUUUAUGCAUGCAAAACACCCACUUACUGAUUACACACACAUUGUACUUAGUUUACUUUAUGUAAAAAAUAUAUUUUGUUAUUCCUUG